rnacentral:snRNA from 1 species
UGUCCUCCAUAGGAGGUCUAUAUUGAGCAGAUUCUUUUUGGUAUUGGGUGGUGGAACCGGAGCGUGCUCCAUCCACUCCAUGCAUUGACCUGGUAUUGCAGUGCUUCCAGGACCGGUGN